rnacentral:rRNA from 1 species
UAAGGGCGCACGGUGGAUGCCUUGGCACUAGGAGCCGAUGAAGGACGGGACUAACACCGAUAUGCUUUGGGGAGCUGUACGUAAGCUAUGAUCCAGAGAUUUCCGAAUGGGGGAACCCAACAUCUUUAAUAGGAUGUUACGAUUGUGUGAAUACAUAGCACAUUCGAGGUAGACGCAGAGAACUGAAACAUCUAAGUACCUGCAGGAAGAGAAAGAAAAUUCGAUUCCCUGAGUAGCGGCGAGCGAAACGGGAAAAGCCCAAACCAGCAAGCUUGCUUGUUGGGGUUGUAGGACUCCAAUAUGGUAGUUCUUUCAGAUAGUCGAAUGACUUGGAAAAGUCAGUCAAAGAGGGUAAAAACCCCGUAGACGAAAUGUGGAAGACACCUAGGAGGAUCCUGAGUACGGCGGAACACGAGAAAUUCCGUCGGAAUCCGGGAGGACCAUCUCCCAAGGCUAAAUACUCCCUAGUGACCGAUAGUGAACCAGUACCGUGAGGGAAAGGUGAAAAGCACCCCGGAAGGGGAGUGAAAUAGAACCUGAAACCGUGUGCCUACAACAAGUCAAAGCCCGUUAAUGGGUGAUGGCGUGCCUUUUGUAGAAUGAACCGGCGAGUUACGAUUGCAUGCGAGGUUAAGUUGAAGAGACGGAGCCGCAGCGAAAGCGAGUCUGAAUAGGGCGUUUGAGUAUGUAGUCGUAGACCCGAAACCAUGUGAUCUACCCAUGUCCAGGUUGAAGGUGCGGUAAAACGCACUGGAGGACCGAACCCACGUACGUUGAAAAGUGCGGGGAUGAGGUGUGGGUAGCGGAGAAAUUCCAAACGAACUUGGAGAUAGCUGGUUCUCUCCGAAAUAGCUUUAGGGCUAGCCUCGGAAUUGAGAAU